rnacentral:rRNA from 1 species
CUACAGGCUUAACACAUGCAAGUCGAGGGGCUCACUAGGUAGCAAUACUGAGGUGGCGACCGGCGCACGGGUGCGUAACGCGUAUCCAACCUUCCCGAUACUCUUGGAUAGCCUUCCGAAAGGGAGAUUAAUACAAGAUGGUGUUUCACUUUCGCAUGUUAUUGAAACUAAAGAUUUAUCGGUAUCGGAUGGGGAUGCGUGACAUUAGAUGGAUGGCGGGGUAACGGCCCACCAUGUCUACGAUGUCUAGGGGUUCUGAGAGGAAGGUCCCCCACACUGGAACUGAGACACGGUCCAGACUCCUACGGGAGGCAGCAGUGAGGAAUAUUGGUCAAUGGUCGGAAGACUGAACCAGCCAAGUAGCGUGAAGGAUGAAGGUUCUAUGGAUUGUAAACUUCUUUUAUACGGGAAUAAAACACACCACGUGUGGUGUCUUGUAUGUACCGUAUGAAUAAGCAUCGGCUAACUCCGUGCCAGCAGCCGCGGUAAUACGGAGGAUGCGAGCGUUAUCCGGAUUUAUUGGGUUUAAAGGGAGCGUAGACGGGGGAUUAAGUCAGUUGUGAAAGGCUGCGGCUCAACCGCAGCACUGCAGUUGAUACUGGUUCCCUUGAGUGCGGUUGAGGUGUAUGGAAUUCGUGGUGUAGCGGUGAAAUGCUUAGAUAUCACGAAGAACUCCGAUUGCGAAGGCAGUACACUAAGCCGUAACUGACGUUGAGGCUCGAAAGUGUGGGUAUCAAACAGGAUUAGAUACCCUGGUAGUCCACACGGUAAACGAUGAAUACUCGCUGUUGGCGAUACAUUGUCAGCGGCCAAGCGAAAGCAUUAAGUAUUCCACCUGGGGAGUACGCCGGCAACGGUGAAACUCAAAGGAAUUGACGGGGGCCCGCACAAGCGGAGGAACAUGUGGUUUAAUUCGAUGAUACGCGAGGAACCUUACCCGGGCUUAAAUUGCAGAGGACAGGCGCAGAGAUGUGCUCUUCUUCGGACCUCUGUGAAGGUGCUGCAUGGUUGUCGUCAGCUCGUGCCGUGAGGUGUCGGCUUAAGUGCCAUAACGAGCGCAACCCUUGCCAAUAGUUACCAUCAGGUUAUGCUGGGGACUCUAUUGGGACUGCCAUCGUAAGAUGUGAGGAAGGUGGGGAUGACGUCAAAUCAGCACGGCCCUUACGUCCGGGGCUACACACGUGUUACAAUGGGAGGUACAGAAGGCCGCUACCCGGCGACGGGAUGCCAAUCCCCAAAACCUCUCUCAGUUCGGAUUGGAGUCUGCAACCCGACUCCAUGAAGCUGGAUUCGCUAGUAAUCGCGCAUCAGCCACGGCGCGGUGAAUACGUUCCCGGGCCUU